GACCAAUAAAAGUGCCGUUCUUCUCGAAUUAGUUUUUGUAAUUAUUUUUGGCAAUAUAUUUACGAGUAAUUUACACCGAGUGAUUUAACACAAAAUAUAAACGACGAAAAAAAAAUCCAUUUAUUUCAAGUAACAAUAACUGCAACACAAUUGACGCGACGACGUUUUUUAAAGCUUAAAAAUAUUAAUGUCCGCUUCGUCCGCUUACGGACGCAUUAUCCGUAUUUAUAAUAAUGACAUUAUACUGACAGAAUAAUAUAUUAAUGCGCAUUUCAAUACGCACUUACAUCUGCAUAUCACGUAGACCAUCUGUGCGUAAACAAAGAUAUUAAAUAUUUACCGAAUGACAUUGUGAUAGAAUAAUAAUAUUAUUAUGUAGUGCAGGCCGCCAAAACGCCGGUGUUCGACGCCAUAUGACGUGCGGUGUGUCGAUUAAACGCG